GGGCCCGCACAAGCGGUGGAGUAUGUGGUUUAAUUCGAUGCAACGCGAAGAACCUUACCAGGGUUUGACAUCCUGCGAAUUUCUGGGAAACCGGAAAGUGCCUUCGGGAGCGCAGUGACAGGUGGUGCAUGGCUGUCGUCAGCUCGUGUCGUGAGGUGUCAGGUUAAGUCCUAUAACGAGCGCAACCCCCUGCCGUUAGUUGCCAGCAUGUAAUGAUGGGAACUCUAACGGGACUGCCGGUGAUAAACCGGAGGAAGGUGUGGAUGACGUCAAGUCAUCAUGCCCCUUACAUCUGGGCUACACACGUACUACAAUGCUACGGACAAAGGGCAGCAAGUUCGCGAGGACAAGCAAAUCCCAUAAACGUGGCUC
rnacentral:rRNA from 1 species